rnacentral:lncRNA from 1 species
GGACCCUCAACGAGCAACCACUUCUUUUUUAAAGGCUGCUGCACAAAUCAAGCCAGCAUUUUCAAUCAUGGUGCAGCACUGAGGGACAAACAUAAUACAAGAAGAGCCAAAAUUAAAUUUUCUUUCUGUAGAUGUUAUUGACAUUUUAUUUGUGAUAAUAAGUGUGAGCUCAGAUUGUUCUGUUUAGUGAAGCAAAUGAGAAGUUUUUGCGAAUUACCUGGGUGGAGGGAAUGUGGAUAGCUUGUUCUGUGAUGGGUAUGGGCAUCUUUAACAGGCGUUACAUCCUCGAUUAUGCACCCAGAUUUUUGUUGAAUUUUAAAUGAAUAUUGUAGUCC